rnacentral:rRNA from 1 species
CAGUCGCCGCGGGAAUACGUAGGUGGCAAGCGUUGUCCGGAAUUAUUGGGCGUAAAGGGCUCGCAGGCGGUUUCUUAAGUCUGAUGUGAAAGCCCCCGGCUCAACCGGGGAGGGUCAUUGGAAACUGGGAAACCUGAGUGCAGAAGAGGAGAGUGGAAUUCCACGUGUAGCGGUGAAAUGCGUAGAGAUGUGGAGGAACACCAGUGGCGAAGGCGACUCUCUGGUCUGUAACUGACGCUGAGGAGCGAAAGCGUGGGGAGCGAACAGGAUUAGAUACCCCUGUAGUCCCUGUCUCUUAUAC